UACGGAGGAUCCAAGCGUUAUCCGGAUUUACUGGGCGUAAAGCGCACGUAGGCGGCUUUGUAAGUUAGAGGUGAAAGCCCGGGGCUCAACUCCGGAAUUGCCUUUAAGACUGCAUCGCUAGAAUUGUGGAGAGGUAAGUGGAAUUCCGAGUGUAGAGGUGAAAUUCGUAGAUAUUCGGAAGAACACCAGUGGCGAAGGCGACUUACUGGACACAUAUUGACGCUGAGGUGCGAAAGCGUGGGGAGCAAACAGG
rnacentral:rRNA from 1 species